GACGAACGCUGGCGGCGUGCUUAACACAUGCAAGUCGAACGGAAAGACCCUGCGUUUGUGGGGUUCUCGAUUGGCGAACGGGUGAGUAACACAUGUGUAACCUGUCCUUGACUUUGGGAUAACUUCACGAGACUCGGGCGAAUACCGGGGAUGAUCUCCUGCUGCAUGGUGGGGGUUGGUAAGUGUCGGCGGUUGGGGAUGGACUCGCGGCUUCUCAGCUUGUUUGUGGGGUAGUGGCUUACCAAGGCUUUGACGGGUAGCCGGCCUGGGAGGGUGACCGGCCACAUUGGGACUGAGAUACGGCCCAGACUCCUACGGGAGGCAGCAGUGGGGAAUAUUGCACAAUGGGCGGAAGCCUGAUGCAGAAACGCCGCGUGCGGGAUGACGGCUUUCGGGUUGUAAACCGCUUUCGCCUGUGCCGAAGCGUGAGUGACGGUAAUGGGUAAAGAAGCACCGGCUAACUACGUG
rnacentral:rRNA from 1 species